rnacentral:lncRNA from 1 species
UCAGCAGGAAGAGGGAGUGCAGCCUAAAGAUCAACCUGAGUGUUUUCAUACACAUCUAUAAUCAUAGAUCUGGACAUCAUCAUAUCCAGCAAAAUUUCAACUUAGAAGAAUAUUUCUAAAAUAUUAGAACAACAAUUAUGGAUGGAAUUGUCUCCCUUCCACAAAGUCAUAUGUUGAAGCCUUAACCUAACCCCCAAUAUGAUUGUAUUUGGGCCUUUAGGGAGGAAAGGUUAAAUUAGGUCAUGGGAUAGAGCCCUAAUCCAAUAGGACUAGUGGCCUUGUAGAAACAGGAAGAGAUUAUAACAGUCAUGAGAGCACCGAAGAAAAACCAGGUGAGGACACUGCAAGAAGGCCGCCACCUACAAGCCAAAGAGAGAAGUUGGGGGAGAACCAACCCUAUCACCACCUCGAUGAGAGGGAAGACAUAGAAAGAGUAAAUCCUUCUUUCCAUUACAGACUCCAGAAAUAACACUCGUGUGAUCCUGAAUGAGUCUCACCUGCUCUCAGUAAAAUAGAACACUUGGGCUAAGAGAACUCUGAUGUCUACUCUUGUUGUUUUUCUGCUGUGUUUUAUAAUGAUAAUGAUAACAGUAACAGUUGUUUGAGCAUUCUUUGACCGUGGCAUUCUUCUAUCAAUGCCUUAGAAAACUGUUGCCACCUACAGCUCUCCUAGGCUCCAAGGGAAGACCAUGGUGUCCCAAGCAUAUUGAAUUGAGUAGAAUGCUAUUAUUGUCUGAUUCUAUCAACCACAACUCUGCAAUAUCUGCUUAUCUGAUGUUAGAGUCUCUGCAGAAAUAAAGAGACUUUAUUUAUAUAAUUCAAUAUUUCAACUACUGUACAAUGUUCCUAAUCAUCUACCCUUCAAAGAGCACCGAAAGGUAAGAGUCUGCAUAUUGUCAUGCCAUGAUUUGAAAUUUCCAAAGCUCUCACAUGUACACACGUGUACUCCCUCACAUUGUAUAAACAUGCUUUUGUGGGGUAUAGUUUGAAAACACAGCCUAAACGUAUUCACAAUAAAGAUAGCUGAUAUUUUAUGUAUUGGAAACUU